AGCUUUCUACAGGUAUGCCAAAGAAACAGCUACGGUGCACUGUAGGAUAGGGCCACUCCUUGAAAAUGAUGGCACGCUCACAGGAAACCCAAAGAGGAUAAGUGAAAUACUAAAUGAGCAAUUCACGAGUAUUUUCACUCCAGCCCUAGGGCAUAUUCAUGUCAGCAAUCCAACUGACUUCUUUACCACUGCAGAUAUAAAACCAGGGGCUGCGAUGAUUGAUUGCAUCAA